UACGAAGGGGGCUAGCGUUGCUCGGAAUCACUGGGCGUAAAGCGCACGUAGGCGGACUCUUAAGUCGGUGGUGAAAUCCUGGAGCUCAACUCCAGAACUGCCUUCGAUACUGGGAGUCUUGAGUCCGGGAGAGGUGAGUGGAACUGCGAGUGUAGAGGUGAAAAUUCGUAGAUAUUCGCAAGAACACCAGUGGCGAAGGCGGCUCACUGGCCCGGUACUGACGCUGAGGUGCGAAAGCGUGGGGAGCAAACAGG
rnacentral:rRNA from 1 species